AGAAUGUAUUAGCAUCCCUCACAUCUGUUAUACUCAACAGAAACCAUUUUGAUUGUUCUUUGCUCGGAUGGAUAUUACUAUCUAAACGUUACUUUCAAAUGCUAAAAGGGAAAAAAAGUUUAAGUGAUAAAAGAAAAAGAAAAAGUUGAUUGAAUAAGAAAAGAAAGAACUUGCAUUGCAAAGAGUUAUGAAGUGAAAAAUAUUAUUUUGGACCAAUGAUUACGUUGUUGGAUCCAUAGGAUAAGUAUGCCUGAACCAAAGAGUGUGACAUUAACCAAUAAGUGGUAUGACCAAAGGGGAAAGAGGACGUUUGCAUAAGCAUUAUGUCUGAUAAGGCAAACAAUGCAUGAGAAAUGGGUUUUCCUCAACACGGGGUCUGACAAGGCAAACAAGAAAGAAAAGGGUUUGUCUAAGCACAAGGUCUGACAAGACAAACAUGCAUGAAGAUAAUGUUUGACUAAGAACUAGAUCUGACAAGGCAACAAUGCAUGAGAAAGAGGUUUGCCU
rnacentral:lncRNA from 1 species